rnacentral:lncRNA from 1 species
ACUGCGCUUCCGUCGCACAGAGCCUGACGAAGGCUUGGGCUCCCCGCGCGGUGACCGUCGAGGUGACCUGCACCUGGCUCCAUGGCGGAACCGGCCGGCACGGAUUAUUCCCCUCUCGGGAGAGGUCUGCAGCCGGGCCUCAGUGCUUCAGUUCGUGGCCUGGCAUUUUGUGAAGAGUGUCUUCAUCUCUGCAUCCCUAGUGCAACAGAGCAUGACAAAAAUUCAACAAAUAUUUAUUGAAGAGUCUUGAUGUCUUUUGGGAAAGGAACUCUAUGGUUACCUUUACUCUAAGGCAUUGUGAAGACCCUGUUUCUCUAGCUGUGCAGCUGCAAGGUCACUAGGCAGAUAAACUCAAGCCAUAAAACAUGUUUUUCCUUGAAAAUUAAAAACAACAACAACAACAACAAAAACACAAAACCCUGAGGCUCAGAAGAUAAAUAUUUGCUGAAGAUCACUGUGCUUAUUAGAUGGGUGUUACUGAUUCUUACCUCAGAGAAGAGAAUGUCAUGGAGACAAAAUGACCUGCUUAGAGUUCUGCACCCCCCAGCAUGGAGAGCAGAGCGCAAAGAUUUCUUCCGGACUCCCACAUUCCCCUUGGAAUCCAAGAACUGGUCUACUGUCACAACACUUUAGUACCCUCUUAGAUGGGGAUCUCACUCUGUUGCCCAGGCUGGUCUCAAACUCCUGGCUUCAAGCAAUCCUCCUGCUUCGGCCUCCCAAACUUCUGGGAUUACAGAUAUGAGCCACCACGGCUGGCUGACAGGCACCAAAUUCUAGGAGAGGACUUGAAUAGACUCCCAAGGAGGCAGCAGAAACUGGGGUAAUCACAACGGUCAACAGCAGCAAAGGCAGCAC